rnacentral:rRNA from 1 species
CUUAAUUUGACUCAACGCGGGGAACCUCACCCGGCCCGGACACCGCGAGGAUUGACAGACUGAGAGCUCUUUCUCGAUUCGGUGGGUGGUGGUGCAUGGCCGUUCUUAGUUGGUGGAGUGAUUUGUCUGCUUAAUUGCGUUAACGAACGAGACCUUAACCUGCUAAAUAGAUGAUCCUAUCUCCGGAUAAGAUUCUUUCUUCUUAGAGGGACUUUGUGUUUUUCAGCGCAAGGAAGUUUGAGGCAAUAA